AUUGAACGCUGGCGGCAGGCCUAACACAUGCAAGUCGAGCGGAUGAAGGGAGCUUGCUCCUGGAUUCAGCGGCGGACGGGUGAGUAAUGCCUAGGAAUCUGCCUGGUAGUGGGGGAUAACGUCCGGAAACGGGCGCUAAUACCGCAUACGUCCUGAGGGAGAAAGUGGGGGAUCUUCGGACCUCACGCUGUCAGAUGAGCCUAGGUCGGAUUAGCUAGUUGGUGGGGUAAAGGCCUACCAAGGCGACGAUCCGUAACUGGUCUGAGAGGAUGAUCAGUCACACUGGAACUGAGACACGGUCCAGACUCCUACGGGAGGCAGCAGUGGCGAAUAUUGGACAGUGGGCGAAAACCUGAUCCAGCCAUGCCGCGUGUGUGAAGAAGGUCUUCGGAUUGUAAAGCACUUUAAGUUGGGAGGAAGGGCAGUAAGUUAAUACCUUGCUGUUUUGACGUUACCAACAGAAUAAGCACCGGCUAACUUCGUG
rnacentral:rRNA from 1 species